rnacentral:lncRNA from 14 species
AUGUUAGGUUCUUGUUCAUCCUUCUGUCACAGGAACUGGUGCCAGUUUGGGACUCUCUCAGGAUCAAUUAUGAACUUUCUAAACUUCCCCUCUGUGCAGUUCCUACUAAAUUUUGUUGUUUCCCACCCAGACUGUUCCCGUGCCCCGCCCUGGCAGGUCCAUUUCUGCUUUAGAAAGGCAGCAUUUCUGCCCUGCUGUGGCCAGAUUCUGGGUCCACAUCAUAGAGAGAAGCUGGCCUCAGGACUUCUUUCUCCCACUUCCCUGGGACAUCUUGCUGGGGCUGGCUUCCCCCCUGCAGCAUGCACCAGACCUGACCACAGGCUUUGCAGCAUGUGGGGAAAGGAGCUCAAAAGGAGCAUGAGCCACCUGGGAGGCUUGGAGCAUGCUUGGUGCCUUGGACUUUGGAUGGUAAACGUCACAGGCCACAGUUUCCAGGAUUGGGCUACCUGCCUGAUGCUCUGUGUUGUAUCCACCUGGAGGGGAAAGGAAAUGGAAGGAUGA